AGCAGUCGCCACGGUAAUACGUAGGUCCCGAGCGUUGUCCGGAUUUAUUGGGCGUAAAGCGAGCGCAGGCGGUUAGAUAAGUCUGAAGUUAAAGGCUGUGGUUUAACCAUAGUACGCUUUGGAAACUGUUUAACUUGAGUGCAAGAGGGGAGAGUGGAAUUCCAUGUGUAGCGGUGAAAUGCGUAGAUAUAUGGAGGAACACCGGUGGCGAAAGCGGCUCUCUGGCUUGUAACUGACGCUGAGGCUCGAAAGCGUGGGGAGCAAACAGGAUUAGAUACCCCAGUAGUCCCUGUCUCUUAUACA
rnacentral:rRNA from 1 species